GCAGACACUAGAGAGUAAAGUUAAAAUGCGGCAAAAACGACUUGAGUUCUACACAUCGGGUGGAACACAUUUGCUCAGGGUCCUGCAAAACACAUUUCAGAAAGCUGAAGUGAAUUAAAAAGGAUUCAAGAUCUUCACCGGGUCUUGACUGGUCGUCAAGCACAGCAGUUCUCCCAGCUGAAAACAAGAUAAGCUAAGAAGUAUAUUUUCGAAUAUUACGACUGUGUUUGCUUCCCUUAAAGCCUGGAAAGCAAAAUUAAAAUUAAGUCUGGUUUGGGUGUAAAUAAUAUAUUUAAGCUUAAAAAAAAGAAAACCUAACAA
rnacentral:lncRNA from 1 species